rnacentral:lncRNA from 1 species
UUUCUCUGUUGCAUCUAUAGAUGGCGGCCACUUUCUGACUGUACUGUAAGGCAGCUUCCUGAUCACAGCCGAGGAAGCAGGUGUCAUGGUGGCCCGGGAGUCACUCCUGAAACCUCGCUCAGCUCAGCGCCCAUAUCCGUGGCUUUCUUGGCAAAUUUUGUCCAGAGAGUUCCAAGCUGGGGUAGGCCUUCUGUAUACAGGCCCCCAGCAACGCUCAAGAAGUGCAUAUGUGAGCAGAGGGAAGGAACCUUCAAAGGGGUGUUCUGAGUGUUGAGGAGACGUGGGUUUUGAAGAAGGCCCCACUCUGCAACUUGGCUCUGCUGUCUGCGAGACUGAUUU